GGAGAUCGCAGCUUCGGUGGUGAUGACAGAACAUGAUUUCGGUUCUGCUCCUAAACCAGGUUUCUGCAGGCCUGCAAGAGAAGGUGCUGGCUGACAUGUUUCAGAGCUGACUGAACGAAGUGGACUCCUGGAUUUACUGGAGCCAGGAGAUGGAUGCAUGGCAGACAAGGGUUUCAC